UACGGGGGGAGCAAGCGUUGUUCGGAUUUACUGGGCGUAAAGAGCGCGUAGGCGGUCUAGUAAGUGAGAAGUGAAAUCUCCAGGGCUCAACCCGGAAACUGCUUUUCAUACUGCCAGACUAGAGGGAUGCAGAGGUUUGUGGAAUUCCUGGUGUAGCGGUGAAAUGCGUUGAUAUCAGGAGGAACACCCAUGGCGAAGGCAGCAAACUGGGCAUCAUCUGACGCUGAGGCGCGAAAGCUAGGGGAGCAAACGGG
rnacentral:rRNA from 1 species